rnacentral:rRNA from 1 species
GAUGAACGCUGGCGGCGUGCCUAAUACAUGCAAGUCGAGCGAACAGACGAGGAGCUUGCUCCUCUGACGUUAGCGGCGGACGGGUGAGUAACACGUGGAUAACCUACCUAUAAGACUGGGAUAACUUCGGGAAACCGGAGCUAAUACCGGAUAAUAUAUUGAACCGCAUGGUUCAAUAGUGAAAGACGGUUUUGCUGUCACUUAUAGAUGGAUCCGCGCCGCUUUAGCUAGUUGGUAAGGUAACGGCUUACCAAGGCAACGAUGCGUAGCCGACCUGAGAGGGUGAUCGGCCACACUGGAACUGAGACACGGUCCAGACUCCUACGGGAGGCAGCAGUAGGGAAUCUUCCGCAAUGGGCGAAAGCUUGACGGAGCAACGCCGCGUGAGUGAUGAAGGUCUUCGGAUCUUAAAACUCUGUUAUUAGGGAAGAACAAAUGUGUAAGUAACUAUGCACGUCUUGACGGUACCUAAUCAGAAAGCCACGGCUAACUACGUG